rnacentral:rRNA from 1 species
UACGGAGGGUGCAAGCGUUAUCCGGAUUCACUGGGUUUAAAGGGUGCGUAGGUGGGCUGGUAAGUCAGUGGUGAAAUCUCCAGGCUUAACUUGGAAACUGCCAUUGAUACUAUCAGUCUUGAAUACCGUGGAGGUCAGCGGAAUAUGUCAUGUAGCGGUGAAAUGCUUAGAUAUGACAUAGAACACCAAUUGCGAAGGCAGCUGGCUACACGAAUAUUGACACUGAUGCACGAAAGCGUGGGGGAUCAAACAGGA